GAAUUCACUAGUGAUUCAGGCCUAACACAUGCAAGUCGAACGGCAGCACGGGUGCUUGCACCUGGUGGCGAGUGGCGAACGGGUGAGUAAUAUAUCGGAACGUACCUUAUCGUGGGGGAUAACGCAGCGAAAGCUGUGCUAAUACCGCAUAAGCCCUAAGGGGGAAAGCAGGGGACCGUAAGGCCUUGCGCGAUUAGAGCGGCCGAUACCUGAUUAGCUAGUUGGUGAGGUAAAGGCUCACCAAGGCAACGAUCAGUAGCUGGUCUGAGAGGACGAUCAGCCACACUGGGACUGAGACACGGCCCAGACUCCUACGGGAGGCAGCAGUGGGGAAUUUUGGACAAUGGGGGCAACCCUGAUCCAGCAAGGCCGCGUGAGUGAAGAAGGCCUUCGGGUUGUAAAUCUAAUAGGGUCAGGGAAGAAACAGCAGCUCUAAUACAGUA
rnacentral:rRNA from 1 species